rnacentral:rRNA from 1 species
AACGUAGGACGCGAGCGUUAUCCGGAGUUACUGGGCGUAAAGCGCGGGCAGGCGGUCUGACAAGUCUGAUGUGAAAUCUCCGGGCUUAACCGGGAGAGGCCAUUGGAAACUGACAGGCUGGAGGGCAGUAGAGGUAGGCGGAAUUCCGGGUGGAGUGGUGAAAUGCGUAGAGAUCCGGAGGAACACCAGAGGCGAAGGCGGCCUACUGGGCCGUUGCUGACGCUGAGGCGCGACAGCGUGGGGAGCAAACAGG